rnacentral:lncRNA from 1 species
ACGAUAGUAGUAGGGGCAUUAUGUUUUCUGGUCUGUGCGUCUGUUCGUCCGUCUGUUCGUUCGUCCGUUCGUCCGUCUGUCCCGCUUCAGGUUAAAGUUUUUGGUCAAGGUAGUUUUUGAUGAAGUUGAAGUCCAAUCAACUUGAAACUUAGUACACAUGUUCCUUAUGAUAUGAUCUUUCUAAUUUAAAUGCCAAAUUAGAGUUUUGACCCC